rnacentral:rRNA from 1 species
AUGGCUAGUGGCGAGGUGGUCGUUGUGUUCGUGCAGUCCAGCGACGCGGGGCAGAGGUAUCCGGGUGCGGCAGCUCGUUAUGGUCCACAUCCCGGGGGGAGAAGGGGAUCCCAGGGCUGGGGCGGUGAGUUUGAAGGCGGCGGCGGUGGCGAGCUCCCUCCAACACAAAACGAGGGAGAUGAUGAGAGGGGACGGUGGGGAAGGGAAUUAAAGAACGUGCAAGCAUGGGUGGCGCUGCCGGUGCAACCCAACUGGACCUCUUCAUUGGUGCUAUCGCCUCGUCGCCGUAAUGACCAUUGA